GCUCACAGUGCUCAGCCUGCUUCUUGUUGGCCCCAGGUGAGUCCGCUCUUCCAAAAGCUGGAGAGUGAGCGCAUCGACGCCCUCCGCAAGCGCUUCGGGGGGGGGCAGGCAAAACCCCCAACCCCCCCACGCAGUCAGACCCUCCCUCAGUGCCAGGCACGGCUCCCACUGACCCCAGCCGCAUCCAGGAGCUGACAGAGCAGGUGGCCGAGCAGGGCGACUGCGUGCGGCGGCUGAAGGCGAGCGGGGCGGACAGGGCGCGCAUCGACAGCGAGGUGGGGAAACUGCUGGCCCUGAAACGGGAGCUGGCGCUGGCUCAGAACGCGAGCCCCGACAGCAAAGGGAAGAAGUAACACAGCGGGACCGCGCCGUGCCACGCGUGUAAUAAAACCCAAAUGCCGUACAGCGGUGCUGGAAGCCAUCGUCCUUUCGCGGGGCCGCCCCACCCCGGCCCUCUAAGCGCGGCGCAGGCUGAGGACGCGCUC
rnacentral:lncRNA from 1 species